rnacentral:lncRNA from 1 species
AGGCACAAGACCCACACACACACUGGUGACUCAGGGCUUAGUUAGUUAAUAACAACAUUUCUGAAGUAUAUUAAUAAUAAUAUUCAAGCAAUAGUGACAGGAAAUGUGUGAAGUGACAAUAUUAACUCAAAGAGCUAGCAUCCCUGAGGUUUACUCUGUGCCAGGCUGGGGGUUUCACAUUCUUAUUUUACUCAUCACAGAAACCCUCUGGAACAUGCACUCUGUGGUCACCAUCUUAUAGGUGAGGAUCGGGGUGAGAGAAGAUUAAUACAUUCCCCACAGUCUAGAUCAUCAGGAGAACCAACAAAUCUUGGGCAAGGACCCACGAAGCAGAAGCAGAAGCAGCACAGAGCCGGUCUGCUUUUUUGUAGUUGUUGUUUUUGUUUUUUUCUUUUUGAGACAGGGUCUUGCUCUGUUGCCCACAUCGGAGUGCAAUGAUGCGAUCAUACCUCAAUGCAACCUCUGCCUCCUGACUCAAGCAAUCCUCCCACCUCAGCCUCCUGAGUAGCUGAGACUACAGGUGCACAUCAUCAUGCUCGACUAAUUUUUGUAAUUUUUGUAGAGAUGGGGUUUCAUCAUGUUUCCCAGGCUGAUCUCAAACUCCUGGACUCAAGCAAUCUGCCCCUCUUGGCAUCCUAAAGUUCUGAGAUUACAGCACUUCACAGAGCCACCCGGGUGUGAGAAAAGACAUUUGACGAGGAUGAUGAAUGAAAAUGAUACUUUACCAGUUCUUUCUGCAAAAAAGCCUGAAAUACUCUAAGAUCAUUUGAUGGAGGU